rnacentral:rRNA from 1 species
UACGGAGGAUCCGAGCGUUAUCCGGAUUUAUUGGGUUUAAAGGGUGCGCAGGCGGGAGAUUAAGUCGGUGGUGAAAUUUUGCAGCUCAACUGUAAAAGUGCCUUCGAAACUGGUUUCCUUGAGUGUAGAUGAAGUAGGCGGAAUUUGUGGUGUAGCGGUGAAAUGCAUAGAUAUCACGAGGAACUCCGAUUGCGCAGGCAGCUUACUAAACUACUACUGACGCUCAGGCACGAAGGCGUGGGGAUCAAACAGGAUUAGAUACCCGGGUAGU